AUCCGCAGCUCUGGGAGUCUCCUGAUGAGUUCAGACCAGAGAGGUUCAGCCCAGAAAGUAAGUCAGAGAUGAACCAAUACGCUUUCAUGCCUUUUGGACUCGGGCCUCGAAAUUGCAUUGGAAUGAGAUUCGCCCAAAUGAUCAUGAAACUUCUUGUUGUGAAGCUGCUUCAGAACUUCAGUAUGGAAACAUGUAAAGAGACACAGAUCCCUCUAGAGCUGAAUGCUAUUUUUCAGCCGAAGGUUCCCAUCACACUGAAGUUUAUACCAAGGUCUUGCAAGGCAAAAGAAUAAUUAAAAUGCAGAAUAUUUCAAUAUAAUUGUGUAGAAGAUUUGAUACUAUGUUAUAUAGCAUUUAUAAAAUUACUCUUUUUAUUAUUAUUCACCUUUUUCACCAUAUUUUUGGAUUUACGGUGCUGAUGGUUUGCUGGGCCUGGGAUGUGUAUGUUUAAUUAUAUAACAUAUAAGCAAUGAAUGCAAUGUAAAGUGUUAUUAUUGUAGCUGUGCGAGACAGGAGCAUGUACUUUAAUAACAGAAUUAAAUACAUUUUUUGUUGGAGAACAGA